UACAGAGGUCCCACGCGUUGUUCGGAUUUACUGGGCGUAAAGGGAGCGUAGGUGGCAUUCUAAGUCUGAUGUGAAAGCUCUGAGCUUAACUCAGAAAUGGCAUUAGAUACUAGUUUGCUUGAGGAUUGGAGGGGAGAUUGGAAUACUUGGUGUAGCAGUGAAAUGCGUAGAUAUCAAGUGGAACACCAGUGGCGAAGGCGAAUCUCUGGACAAUUCCUGACACUGAUGCUCGAAAGCUAGGGGAGCAAACGGG
rnacentral:rRNA from 1 species